GCCCGGCUAGCUCAGUCGGUAGAGCAUGCGACUCUUAAUCUCAUGAUCGUGGGUUCGAGUCCUACGUUAGGCG